rnacentral:ncRNA from 1 species
GCGUCCUGCUCGUGAUCGUCUUCUCAACCUUCACGGAGCGGGCGGAAAAAAAGCGGAAGGCCCCACGAGGACGUGACUCGUGGGGCCUUCCG